rnacentral:rRNA from 1 species
UGCAGUCGAGCGGUAGCACAGAGAGCUUGCUCUCGGGUGACGAGCGGCGGACGGGUGAGUAAUGUCUGGGAAACUGCCUGAUGGAGGGGGAUAACUACUGGAAACGGUAGCUAAUACCGCAUAAUGUCGCAAGACCAAAGAGGGGGACCUUCGGGCCUCUUGCCAUCAGAUGUGCCCAGAUGGGAUUAGCUAGUAGGUGGGGUAACGGCUCACCUAGGCGACGAUCCCUAGCUGGUCUGAGAGGAUGACCAGCCACACUGGAACUGAGACACGGUCCAGACUCCUACGGGAGGCAGCAGUGGGGAAUAUUGCACAAUGGGCGCAAGCCUGAUGCAGCCAUGCCGCGUGUAUGAAGAAGGCCUUCGGGUUGUAAAGUACUUUCAGCGGGGAGGAAGGUGUUGAGGUUAAUAACCUCGUCAAUUGACGUUACCCGCAGAAGAAGCACCGGCUAACUCCGUGCCAGCAGCCGCGGUAAUACGGAGGGUGCAAGCGUUAAUCGGAAUUACUGGGCGUAAAGCGCACGCAGGCGGUCUGUCAAGUCGGAUGUGAAAUCCCCGGGCUCAACCUGGGAACUGCAUUCGAAACUGGCAGGCUAGAGUCUUGUAGAGGGGGGUAGAAUUCCAGGUGUAGCGGUGAAAUGCGUAGAGAUCUGGAGGAAUACCGGUGGCGAAGGCGGCCCCCUGGACAAAGACUGACGCUCAGGUGCGAAAGCGUGGGGAGCAAACAGGAUUAGAUACCCUGGUAGUCCACGCCGUAAACGAUGUCGACUUGGAGGUUGUGCCCUUGAGGCGUGGCUUCCGGAGCUAACGCGUUAAGUCGACCGCCUGGGGAGUACGGCCGCAAGGUUAAAACUCAAAUGAAUUGACGGGGGCCCGCACAAGCGGUGGAGCAUGUGGUUUAAUUCGAUGCAACGCGAAGAACCUUACCUACUCUUGACAUCCAGAGAACUUAGCAGAGAUGGAUUGGUGCCUUCGGGAACUCUGAGACAGGUGCUGCAUGGCUGUCGUCAGCUCGUGUUGUGAAAUGUUGGGUUAAGUCCCGCAACGAGCGCAACCCUUAUCCUUUGUUGCCAGCGGUCCGGCCGGGAACUCAAAGGAGACUGCCAGUGAUAAACUGGAGGAAGGUGGGGAUGACGUCAAGUCAUCAUGGCCCUUACGAGUAGGGCUACACACGUGCUACAAUGGCGCAUACAAAGAGAAGCGACCUCGCGAGAGCAAGCGGACCUCAUAAAGUGCGUCGUAGUCCGGAUUGGAGUCUGCAACUCGACUCCAUGAAGUCGGAAUCGCUAGUAAUCGUAGAUCAGAAUGCUACGGUGAAUACGUUCCCGGGCCUUGUACACACCGCCCGUCACACCAUGGGAGUGGGUUGCAAAAGAAGUAGGUAGCUUAACCUUCGGGAGGGCG